CUAGGGAAUUCUUAUGAUUUUUGUAUAGUGACUCUACAUUAUUCCAUAACACAAAAUAAAUAAAUAUUAGUGUGUUAGUGAUUAAAGUUACUGAAGCAAAGCUUUGAUUCCCGCAGAUAACAAUAGGGAUACACACUGGCGAGGUGGUCACAGGGGUCAUAGGGCAGAGGAUGCCUCGCUACUGUCUUUUUGGAAAUACUGUCAACCUCACAAGCAGGACAGAAACCACCGGAGAAAAAGGAAAAAUAAAUGUGUCUGAAUAUACAUACAGAUGUCUUAUGACACCAGAAAAUUCAGACCCACAGUUCCUCUUGGAGCACAGAGGCCCAGUGUCCAUGAAGGGCAAGAAAGAACCAAUGCAAGUUUGGUUUCUAUCCAGAAAAAAUACGGGGACAGAGG